rnacentral:rRNA from 1 species
UACGGGGGGAGCAAGCGUUGUUCGGAUUUACUGGGCGUAAAGGGCGCGUAGGCGGCCACCGCAAGUCAGUUGUGAAAUCUCUGGGCUUAACCCAGAAAGGUCAGCUGAUACUGCGGGGCUAGAGUGCAGAAGGGGCAACUGGAAUUCUCGGUGUAGCGGUGAAAUGCGUAGAUAUCGAGAGGAACACCUGCGGCGAAGGCGGGUUGCUGGGCUGACACUGACGCUGAGGCGCGAAAGCUAGGGGAGCGAACGGG